GGCACAGUGGUACAGUGGGUUAGCACUGUUGCCUCAUGGCAAGAAGGUUGUGGGUUUGAAUCCAACCUGGGACC